CUCAUCCUUCCAACUCCCUCACUGUGUUGCUCUCUGCAUGUCUUUCUCUCGUUUUCUGUCUUGACAUCCCCCUUGUCUUCGCUCUUCCUUCAACCAUCUUCACUUGAUACGUGAAGGCAAGGAAGGAGAAACAUUCUCGAGUUCUUGCAGCCCGGCCCUGCCUCUAUUAACGACAAUAAAUAAUCAACAACAGAAGCUCAACGAGUUCAGUAAGCCUAAAUCCAUUGGGUGCGAUGGUGUUCUCAUCAAAUUGUCAAGGUCCGGUUUGGAUCAUCAUUCAUAUAAUUUCACGCACAAAAAUCUACGGAAAAGCAAGAAAAUUCAUAAGUAAUCAUUAGAUAGGCUACAUCAGAAAAUCAAGUUAAAGCCUAAAGUAAAGAUAAAGAAACCAAACCAGCAGCUAAAAGCUAAUGGGGCAUAGAGUUUUUAAAACUUGUUCGAGUGGUUUCGGUUUGGAACGUCUGCAACGCGAAUUGACCUCGGGCCAGCCAUCUUCUUUGAUGCAUUUGCCAGUCGCGCCCUACGUGACGUCAAACUUUUCCACUAGUCCUUAUUUGCUUUCCACUCUUUUCUUGUGUACGGUUAUCCUCUUUUCCAUUCCAGGGGCGAGGGCCGAAAAAAAAAAAAAACGUAUGGAAAGUGCAGGGCUGCUAUUGAGAUCUUCGGUCGCUCGUCCGAUUCUGGAACUGUACGUCGGCUGUUGCAUUUUCUCUUCUUCUUCUUCUUCUUCUGAUUUUUUCUUUGGUUUUUGACAGUGUCUGUUUUGUAUUAAUAAUAUCGUAUCCACAACAGUUA